CGCUUGAUCAAAUCUUCUUUUCCACAAGGGAAUGGAACAUGGAUGCGAUGUAUUCUGCCAAAUGAAAUGGCUUGCCGCCCUUCCAAAUAUAGCCGCAGUAUAGGAAGAAACACGUGAUAAGCAAUUCAUUACAAAGCAGGCUUCCUUAGAUUUUAUUUUUCCCUACUUUCUCAGCAACCAAGUUGAGAGAGCUCAUAGCAAGCAAAACAGAAACCUAACUAAAUUGAAUUUGAGGAGAGAAGGGAAACUAAGAAAGCGCAGCGUGGAGUACAACAAUACCGUACAUAAAGACGCUUUGAG
rnacentral:misc_RNA from 1 species